AAGAAGUACUAAUGUGAUGUGAUGAUGAGACAUGAGGCAAAGAAUUGAGAGUGCUCUCCAGCCUCUAAGAGCUAGCAAGAAAAUGGGGACUUUUCCAGUCCUGCAACCACAAAGGGAAUCCAGUCAACAACUGAAUUCAGUGAACACCUUGAAAGAACUUGGAAGAGAGCCCAAUGCUCCAAAGGGGAGCUGUAGCACAAGAGGCACCUUGAUUCCAGGCUUGCGAGAGGCUGGACAGAAGAUCCAGCUAAGGUGUGCCUGGACUCCUGACCCAAGAAAACUUAUUGGGUGUCUGCCUCCAGACUUAUCUAGACACAUAGGAAACCAGCUGGAUAACUCAUUUCCUAGCCUCCCUUGCAGUAUGGUCAUGUGACCAAGUCCUCAUCCAUGAAUUUUAAGCAGGAAUGUUCCUGGAAUAGCACCUGAUACACAAAAGGCAUCCAGCCAAUGUUUGCUGAACAAAGAAAUGAAGGUAAUGUUUGAAAUGAAGGUAAUGUAUGAAGUUGAGAGGGAAUGAAGGGAAGGCAGAAUAAACACAGAAUUGAGAAUCAGGAAAACUUGAAGAGAUUAUUUCCAAAGCUCUUAUUGGUUACAGAGUUGGUUGGUGACAUAUCCAGAAUAUGAUUUUGCUGGCUAACUUCUAGUCUAUACUUUUACUACACCCAUGUAGCUACAAUUACAUUCAGAUCAGGAGACGUUUAGGAAGGACAUCUUCUUUCUUUCUUUUUUGAGAUGGAGUCUUGCUCUGUUGCCCAGGCUAGAGUGCA